GCUCUGACUCAUACGCUCACUUCCCUCAUCUCAACUGCAGGGAUAAACUCACAUCAGCAUCAUGAGGCCAUUGUGACGAUCCAGCAGGAAAUACACAUGAUUCCUUUGGUUUUUCUACAACAUCUUCAGCACCUGGAACAGUGCCUGGCAUAGAGAGGAUAUUCAAUAAAUAUUUACUCAAUGAAUAAAUACAGCCAUCCAGAAAGGAAGCUGUCAAACUAAAUACACAUGCAUAUUUCUGAGCUUUUCACUGACCUCUGUUUCUUUGAUCAUUGGUCACCAUUCACCAGGGAAGGAUAGCAAGUGUAAAGCGUUUAAGAAAAGUGCAAGGACAGUCUCUCAUUUUCAACCUGACCUGCCCAUUAAUGUUCUGUGUGUUGGGAAAGGACAGUCUGGCUGGUGGAGGGGUGAGUUGGAGCCUCCUGGGGGCACCGAUCAGAGAGCUACAGGAAGCUUCUGAGCACUGGUCCAGUUUUUGGGCCUGAGGCCCUGGAGCAGAGGGGAGAGCUCUUCUCCAGUGGGGCAGGGGGGGCUGGAGACCAGGGACCGCAGCUGUGGAAGGCAACAGAGAGGAGCUUAUGGGAGCCUCCUGGGGCAACUUGGUCUGAGGUUAGAGGCCACAGCACACCCACAUUCCUGGUGCUUGUCAGAUGCAAAUGAUGAGAAUAAUAGGGCCUCUGUCCCUAGGCCAUUUGUGGUAGAGCCUGGGCUCCCGGGAAUCAUAGCUCCUUCAGGCCAGCCAUGGACCAGUUCAGGGGAAGCAAGCUCCGGUUGGGGCCACCCCUUCCACCCCCUAGAAGUGUAGGUAAGUCACGGUGGGCCCCUUGUUUUCAAAAUGCCGACCUCACUGGCCCUGCUGCAGUGUUGGAAAGGCUCAUCGUGAAUGGCUCCUCUGAGUCCAAUGAAGCAGUAAGACCCACUGUAAAAAUGCAGCUGCUUUAUUAUAUUGGGGAAAAGAGUAAGUCAUUGCAGGGUGGGGGGCGCUGGAAGGUGAGGCCAGUCUCAUCAGUCCCCUGUCCAGAUUCCCAAGCCUGGAACGAAGAUGCCCCCGGCCCAUCUCCUCGGCCCGCCCCAGGAACCUGGAGAUUCGAGGAGGAGGAGGAGGAGGAAGAUGAAUACGAGCUGCCCCCCUGUGAGGCUCUGCCCUUCAGUCUUGCCCCAGCCCACGUUCCUGACCCCGAGAAGGACUCUCCGUACUUGGAUCACCCUGGCCCCCUGGGCCCAUCCAAGUCACCACCACCACAGCCCCAGGCCACAACGGUGAACAACACCCCCACCCCCAGUCUCUCCUUCCCCACCCACCCCACCCAGCUACCAUUUCCCAGGGAGUAA
ensembl:lncRNA